rnacentral:tRNA from 1 species
AUUUAUCUAAUAUAUAAGUAUAUUUGACUUCCAAUCAAAAUGACUGAUUCAAUUCAGGAUAAAUA